UUUCAAUUAUGAUAAAUCCGAGCCUGUGAUGAGGAGAACGCUAACACCUCAUCACAGGCUCGGAUUUAUCGUAAUUGAAGU
rnacentral:pre_miRNA from 14 species